UACGGGGGGAGCAAGCGUUGUUCGGAUUUACUGGGCGUAAAGGGCGCGUAGGCGGCGCAACAAGUCACUUGUGAAAUCUCCGGGCUUAACCCGGAGCGGCCAAGUGAUACUGUCGUGCUAGAGUGCGGAAGGGGCUACUGGAAUUCUCGGUGUAGCGGUGAAAUGCGUAGAGAUCUGGAGGAAUACCAGAGGCGAAGGCGGCUUGCUGGGGUGGAAUUGACGCUCAGACACGAAAGCAUGGGGAGCGAACGGG
rnacentral:rRNA from 1 species